GUCUACAGCCAUGCUACCCUGAACAAGCCCGAUCCCGUCUGAUCUCAGAAGCUAAGCAGGGUCGGGCCUGGUUAGUACUUGGAUGGGAGACCACUUAGGAAGACCAGGUGCUGCAGGCG
rnacentral:rRNA from 1 species